UACGAAGGGGGCGAGCGUUGUUCGGAAUUACUGGGCGUAAAGGGCGCGUAGGCGGCCGAUCAAGUCAGAUGUGAAAGUCCUGGGCUUAACCUGGGGACUGCAUUUGAUACUGAUUGGCUUGAAUGCAGGAGAGGAUAGCGGAAUUCCCAGUGUAGAGGUGAAAUUCGUAGAUAUUGGGAAGAACACCGGUGGCGAAGGCAGCUAUCUGGACUGUGAUUGACGCUGAGGCGCGAAAGCGUGGGGAGCAAACAGG
rnacentral:rRNA from 1 species